UACGUAGGCAGCGAGCGUUGUUCGGAGUUACUGGCGUAAAGGGUGUGUAGGCGGUCCUCUAAGUUUGGUGUGAAAUCUCCCGGCUCAACCGGGAGGGUGCGCCGAAAACUGGGGGACUAGAGUGCGGGAUGGGAGAGUGGAAUUCCUGGUGGUAGCGGUGAAAUGCGUAGAUAUCAGGAGGAACACCGGUGGUGUAGACGGCUCUCUGGACCGUAACUGACGCUGAGACACGAAAGCGUGGGUAGCAAAC
rnacentral:rRNA from 1 species